GGUGAAAUUUUUUUUAUUUUAAAUAUUAAAAAACUAAUUUUGAGUCUAAAAAAUAUUAGAGGUAAACUAGGAUUUGAUACCCUACUAUACUAAUAUAAAAUAAUAUUUACCUUGUAUAAUUAAAAGUUAUGUUCUUGAAAAUAAAAAAAUUUGGCGGUAGUUUAAUCUUAUCAGAGGAAUCUGUUUUUUAAUCGACACAACGCGUUAAAUUUUACUUAGGUUUGUAUACCGUCAUUUAAAUUGAUUUGGGAGAAAUCAAUUAAAAUUAAAAUUUUAAAUAAAUUAGAUCAAGGUGCAGCAUAUAAAUAAGAUAAAAUGGAUUACAAUAAUUUUAAAUUAUUUGAAUAAUUUGUUUGAAGGUGGAUUUGAUAGUAUUAUAAUAUAAUAAAAUAGAAGUUUUAGCUCUAAAUUAUGUACAUAUUGCCCGUCGCUUUC
rnacentral:rRNA from 1 species